GUCCCCUUAGCUCAACGGAUAGAGCACGAGCCUCCGAAGCUUGGGAUGUGGGUUCGAUUCCCCCAGGGGGCGCCA
rnacentral:tRNA from 1 species